rnacentral:rRNA from 2 species
ACGAACUCUGGUAUUGAUUGGUGCUUGCAUCAUGAUUUACAUUUGAGUGAGUGGCGAACUGGUGAGUAACACGUGGGAAACCUGCCCAGAAGCGGGGGAUAACACCUGGAAACAGAUGCUAAUACCGCAUAACAACUUGGACCGCAUGGUCCGAGUUUGAAAGAUGGCUUCGGCUAUCACUUUUGGAUGGUCCCGCGGCGUAUUAGCUAGAUGGUGGGGUAACGGCUCACCAUGGCAAUGAUACGUAGCCGACCUGAGAGGGUAAUCGGCCACAUUGGGACUGAGACACGGCCCAAACUCCUACGGGAGGCAGCAGUAGGGAAUCUUCCACAAUGGACGAAAGUCUGAUGGAGCAACGCCGCGUGAGUGAAGAAGGGUUUCGGCUCGUAAAACUCUGUUGUUAAAGAAGAACAUAUCUGAGAGUAACUGUUCAGGUAUUGACGGUAUUUAACCAGAAAGCCACGGCUAACUACGUGCCAGCAGCCGCGGUAAUACGUAGGUGGCAAGCGUUGUCCGGAUUUAUUGGGCGUAAAGCGAGCGCAGGCGGUUUUUUAAGUCUGAUGUGAAAGCCUUCGGCUCAGCCGAA